rnacentral:rRNA from 1 species
UACGAAGGGAGCUAGCGUUACUCGGAAUCACUGGGCGUAAAGCGUGCGUAGGCGGUUUUGUAAGUCAGAAGUGAAAGCCCAGGGCUCAACCCUGGAAUUGCUUUUGAAACUGCAUAACUUGAGUGUUGUAGGGGAUAGCGGAAUUCCUAGUGUAGAGGUGAAAUUCGUAGAUAUUAGGAGGAACACCGGUGGCGAAGGCGGCUAUCUGGACAACAACUGACGCUGUUGCACGAAAGCGUGGGGAGCAAACAGG